UGUCCAUUGCUACGGGGAGGGGGCGUGGGGACACCACCACCGUGGGGGAGGUUCGCGUGACCAAUUCCGUUCAUCUAUACGCAACUAAUAUUCAGAGGAGAAACAUUCAUUCAUUCAAAAACAGCCAAAAAAUUCAUUCAAUUCAAACACUUAAAGAUCGUCGUCAUCGUCAUCAUUAAACAACAAAGUGGACCUGGAUUAUUUAUGUGUUUUGUCUGAUUGUGCAAUUUAUGCAGCGAUGCUGGUGGUAUAAUCUCAGGGUGAAAUCAGAUCAUCAAAAUUAUUAUCUUGUAACAAGAUCCAGCUCGAAUUACGUUGAGUAUAACUUUUGGGAAUAAUAAAGUCGUAAAUUUUACGACCUUUGUCUUUACACAAAGUUGAAUAAAAAUAGGGGUGGAAUGUUGAGUGAGAUAAGAUGACUAAUUCAGUCCUUUUAGUUAUAUAAGUUUUAGUCGAAAAAAAUACGGGGGGUGGAUGAUGGUCAUUCGAGAUUGUUGACGUCGUCAUUUCUGACUGGACAGUGAAGGAUUGUUUUGUCUAAAUCGUAAUCAUUUUUAUGUACUUGAUUGAGAUUGGGCGAGGAGAGAAAAAUUAAAUUAAUAAUUUUUUAUAAAUUACGUCCAGUAACCAAGUAGCAAAAUGUAUAACAGAUUAUCAUAUUUUUAAAAAUAAGCAAUGAUUGUGAUUUCCAAAAUCUUUGUACAUGCCUGAUGAAGAUGACUGUGGGUCACUGAAAGCUAGCAAUUUUUCAAUAAAUCAAGUAUUAUCCUCGAAAA